CGGUAAUACCAGCUCUCCGAGUGGUAGGGACGAUUAUUGGGCUUAAAGCGUCCGUAGCCGGCUUAGCAAGUCUUCUGUUAAAUUCAGCGACCUAAUCGUUGAGCCGCGGGAGAUACUACUAGGCUAGGAGGCGGGAGAGGCCGACGGUAUUCCCGGGGUAGGGGUGAAAUCCUAUAAUCCCGGGAGGACCACCAGUGGCGAAGGCUGUCGGCUAGAACGCGCUCGACGGUGAGGGACGAAAGCUGGGGGAGCGAACCGGAUUAGAUACCCGGGUAGUCCCAGCUGUAAACGAUGCGGGCUAGGUGUUGAGGUGGCUACGAGCCACUUCAGUGCCGCAGGGAAGCCAUUAAGCCCGCCGCCUGGGGAGUACGGCCGCAAGGCUGAAACUUAAAGGAAUUGGCG
rnacentral:rRNA from 1 species